GGCCUGUUGUAGUAGUAGUAAUUAUUAUAUCUGCAUCAGUUUAUGGAUGCCUCUAAAUGGAAUAAGCUUUGUCUAAGAUAUGCAUGAUUGUUUAAUUGGUUAAAAUGUAGUGUGUGUGUGGUCUCAUUCAGCAUAUUUAAUACAGAGUUGAUUAACGAAUGUUAACAUUGGAAUUGCUUAGAUUUAGUCAUGACAACUUUUUGCUGUAGCUAUUAGACAAUCUCAAGGGCUGAAAACCAACUGCUCAUGAAUGGAUACUGUACCGUUCUGGCUGCCAGCAAAUUUGUACAGUAAUGUUCUGUAUAGUUUCAGAUUGAAUUUAUACAAUCCUUUAGAAGAUAUUUACAGUAACUACUGUAUUUGAGAAUGUAUUUUGAAAAAGACUUGGAAAGUAACUGUCUUCGGACAAGCUAUAGGUGAUGCUAUGUAUUUACGGUAUAGAAGUAAUGCAGCUCAGUUGUGUAAAUGUGAUUUAGGUUGCUCACCCCUGCUCUGCAGCUUUGUAGUGUGAUAGUUGUGUGAAAUUGUGGAGAUUGCUGUAACCAUGCACUCGGGCUCCAGCAUUCGAAACUGCCGGUGGCCAUGAAGCCAUUACAAGAGCUGAAAUUUCGUCCAUUACACUUACAAAGGGUUCCUUCCUUUGCCCUUGCUGCCCGCCUUUCAUUUCAAAUGGAGGGGGGGAGGGUUGACGUUUCUCUUGCAGUGUAAGAGCACAAGGAAAGAAAGCAAACCCCUUCUUCUGUGACCUGCUGUCCUAGCAUGGGCCGCGAUGGCACGCUGCAGUCACUCUGCAUGGGAGUAAUUUGCUCCAGUUUUCCUUGUCCUUAUCAAUGAUGUUACACAGGUCGAGUUGGAGCUAUAAUUGGGCUCUUCUCAUUGAUGUGAGAAGUUCUGUCGUGAGGGGGGAGAACAUCAUCUGAACUAAUCUGCAUUCUUAGACUGCAAACAAAUCAAUGGUUGUUAUCUAAAGAGAUGACUUAUUCUGGUAGCUCAUUAGCAAUAUUAAUUCACAGCUGCAUACCUUUGUGCCUUUUUUUGCCUGAAGUAAGUGUAUAUUCCCCUUGAACUUUAAAGAGGUUAUUAGGAUGCUGAUGACUGCACCUUGUUUUCUUCUUACCUGCCGAUAUUUUGUUCAUAAGUUUUUGUAGUAGAACUCUCGCAUGAUGUCUAGAAACAGAAGUACUUAAACUAGGUACUAGGUGUACACUUUGAAUGUUAGGCUGGUUGUAGUAUGCAGCGUGAGCAGGAAACUCCAACCGUAAUGUGUUCGUUUUGUGUAUAUAAAUUGCAGUAUAUCAUUAGUUCAGUGGGGAGGAGUGUCUGGAGCUAUCUUUUAAAAGCACAGCUGACAUAUGUACUGGAUCAGUCCCUGAAGACUGGUAGUUUUGUAAAUUGGGUUCAAUUUAUGAACCGCUCAGAAUACCUCAUAUGUAAAUAGAGUUGUCAUGACUUAAUCACAAUGUGUUCAUUGUAAAAAGUAAAGGAGCCACUGGCUGGCUCAGCUUUAGGCUUGUUGUUCUUGCCUCUUUUUGUAAUUUUUUUUAAAGUAGGGUUUACAGCUAGAAUUUUGAAUGCCAAAGUUCUAUUUAUUAAAUAAUAAUAAAAGUUUUCAUUGUUAAUGACUGGUAUUUUUCCACUGGAAUUUGUUUGUUGAUGUUUGGGAUUUGUAUCCACAGAGCAAAAAUAAAUUUUGUUACAAAA
ensembl:lncRNA